UGCAUAGAUGUUAUGGAUGAUAAAAUUGUUUUGUCCUACAAUAUUCAUAUUUAUUUUUCAUUAAAUCAUAUUAUCAUCAUUUGUUUCUAAAAUCAUAUUCAGACGUGCAUAUAGAAUUUUCCGCGGCAACGCGUGGGGAAUCACAUAGUAUGCAUAAGUAAUUCUCACCACUCUCCAAUUAUCCAGAGUAUUCCAAAAUAUUCUCAAGUAUGCAUUGUUAUUUCUCAAUAGACCCAAAUCACACAACCUAAACAAGUCUACAGAGAUACAUCAUCAACGAGAUUAGAGACAUAUUUGCCUGGCCGCCUGCCCCAAUCAACAUCAAGGAGAUAAUCUGUAAGCAAUCCAUGCAUUGCGCAGCUCUCAGACGAGCGAGCGAACCAUGAAAAGGACAAGUAAUCGAACGAUCUGCCAUUACAUCAACACAAACAACCACUAAUGCAAAACAAAAAAGCGCACCGAAAACCAAUCAACAUCGACGAGAUUAAGCGUUCGCUAGGACCCGAGGACGCAAAAACUAACCACCCAAUCAACAGAAAGAUUAUGUUCCCGAUCAACAGGAAUCCACAGCACGCAAAGCAAAAAAAGUUGAAUGGUUUUGUCACCGGGAAAAUAUGAGAAAGGAGUUAGCGAUCCAUGGAACAUGUACAAGUAAUCGCUAGGAUGUGAGACUAAGCUAGCCACCAAACAACAUUAUUAAAUUAAACUCAUCACAACAUAAAAUCCUCCAAUGCAGGUAAACUCAUCGCAACAUUUGUCCCUCAAAACUCGCGACAUAAAAAAUCCCACAUGCAACAUAAGAAAAAAAUCACCACGGCAUAAAAAAAAUCCCACAUGAAACAUACAUGGCAUCGGAACAAAUUCCCUCGGAGCACACUCAUAAUUGUUGUAACAUAAUGCCCUUGUAUAUGUAGCAAAAAAA
rnacentral:lncRNA from 1 species